CUGAUCCAGACCCCCUGAAUGUGGGUGUCAGUGAGAAGGCCUAGUCCACCAGUUGAAUGAAGAGCUGAGGAUACUAUAGCUGGCCUCAGGUACCUGAAUGGCUGGACAGAGCUGAGUUCCAGAACUUUGAGAAUCUAUGGGAAUAUGUUGAGAGAUAACGUAUAUAUUUGGUUCUAGGAAAGAAUAUCUAAACAAACUGAUAAGGGAUUUGGACAAUGUACUCAAUUCUGAUAACCAGAAGAGGAUAAAUAAAUGUAUUCCAGACAGGAACAAAAUAUGUGAAGACAAAAGACAUGGAAGGAUACGGCCCAGCCAGAGAAUAACCAGCACCAAAGGCAGGAGAUAACUGUAGGUGUUUCCUCUCCUGACGGGCACCUGGAUGACGCACUUGUGGCCAGAACCAUGGUUGGACUCUCCAUGGGGACCUCAAGCAAGAAUCAGUUCUACUCACCACUCUAGCUGUCUCAUGAGGCAAAGAGAAGAGAUGUUCUGAUUUCCCACUUAUGUCUCCUUUCCAGUUUCCCAGUCUUCUGUCUCUACCACAGUUUUUCCCUUGACAAAAUCCCACUGGAAAUAAGUUAACACUGGGAAUGUAGAACAUUCGUGCUCUCAGGGAUGGCAGGUCCUCUGUUUUGGAGAUGGCAGGUCCUCUAAUCUCAGUGAUAACAGAGCAGAUGGAGGUGAAGACAGCCCUGAGGACAGCCAGGAUUGACAGUACCCUUCAGUAGUCAUUGAUUCUACCAAGUUCAUCAACAGACUCUGCUUAGCACUUUAGUGAAUCAAUACAUUUCACCCCGCAUCCCUGGCACACAUAAGAGACUUUUCUGAAACCUUACUAGGAAGUAGGACAUUCUGAAAUCUUCAGCCAUCAAUAAAGCUAAUGCCUGUGA